rnacentral:lncRNA from 1 species
GUUAUAUCACCACAAGUCAUAGUAGAUGUAAGCACUUACUAGUGCUAUAGUUACUUAUUAGUAAUAUAAUAGUGCAUUAUUUACAGAUAAUUAAAUUUAUAUGUACUAAGAAGCAGGAGAUUUGUCAUAUUUCAUAUAUGUAUGUUCUGUAUGUAUUUGAGGUAUAUACAUGUAUACUAUGUAUGCGGUUUAGAAUAAAAAUGUUAAAUAGUUUGUACAAAUCUGGUUUAUGUUAAGCACACAGUUUGCUAUUUUUUCCCCCUUAUUUCAUGCUGAUUUUGUUCUAGGUGUCUUGGUUGAAUGGAUUUUUUGAUUUUGAUAGCCUUGUUUUGUGGGUAAGGAACUCCUUGCUCAGACAGAAUUUUCAACCGUUACCUUGAGAGCAGAUGUAUAAUUUUAAAUUGGAAUAUUCAGGCACUGAGUUACAGCUUGUAACUGUUGUACUUUGCUCUCUGUUUCUGGCACAGGAAGGCUCAAAGAUAUCUACAUGUAACAUCCCAAGUUUAAAAUGGUUACCUAUACAAAUAACACAUUUUAAGAAGUCAAGCCUCAAGGAACUGUUAGGUGGAAAUAUUGUUGCUGGUUUUCUCUACUGAAACUUUUGAAAUAGAAGAAUUUUAGAUGUGCCAUGAUCAAGAGAAGAAUUAGACCAGUUCAAUGUCCUUCUAAUUUGUGGUGACAGUUUUCCAAAUUUGCUGUGGUUUUGUUCAGAAUUUCUGCUUUGAGCACCUCAAACAGUGCACUGUUGGAUAUUGUAGCAACUCUCACAUUUUUCUUCAACGUUUUUCAAGAAAUCUUUGUCAUAUUUCCUUUGGAAGACUUAAAUAUUGCUUGAAAAAAUGGCAAUACUGGGAAAAAAAACACACACACACACACAAAAAAAAACCAACAAAACAAACAAAAAAAAAACAACCACCAAAACCACAAAAGACACAUUUUUAGCUUUUGACCUAUAGAUAUCUACGAAUCUUUAGUGUAAAGGUUCUGGACAUGUCUUCCAAAAGUUAAUAUUUUGAUAUUCCCAUCCUUUUUACCCUCCCUAAACAGUGUAUUCCAAAAGUUUUUAGUAUUAUCUUCAUAAAUCAGAAUUUCAGGAGGGUUUCAUAGUGACAAUACGGUGAGCAUGUUAUAAACAGACCUAUCUUGAAGCACAACAAUAAACUAUUAUUACAUUCUUCGGAAUGGUUUUGA